GCCAGGUGUGGUGGCGCACACCUGUUGUCCCAGCUACUCGGGAGGCUGAGCUGGGAAGAUCACUUGAGCCCAGGAGUUCAAGGCUGCAGUGAACUAUGUUCACGCCACUGCACUCCAGCCUGGGCAAUAGAGUGAGACCCUGUCUCAA
rnacentral:SRP_RNA from 1 species